UACGGAGGGUGCAAGCGUUAAUCGGAAUUACUGGGCGUAAAGCGCACGCAGGCGGUCUGUCAAGUCGGAUGUGAAAUCCCCGGGCUCAACCUGGGAACUGCAUUCGAAACUGGCAGGCUAGAGUCUUGUAGAGGGGGGUAGAAUUCCAGGUGUAGCGGCGAAAUGCGUAGAGAUCUGGAGGAAUACCGGUGGCGAAGGCGGCCCCCUGGACAAAGACUGACGCUCAGGUGCGAAAGCGUGGGGAGCAAACAGG
rnacentral:rRNA from 1 species